GGGGUUGUGGCUCAGCGGUAGAGCACUCACUUCACACGUGUAAGGCCCUGGGUUUGAUUCUUAGCACCCCA
rnacentral:tRNA from 1 species